rnacentral:rRNA from 1 species
GAGUUUGAUUCUGGCUCAGGACGAACGCUGGCGGCGUGCUUAACACAUGCAAGUCAAACGGAAAGGCCCUGCUUUUGUGGGGUGCUCGAGUGGCGAACGGGUGAGUAACACGUGAGUAACCUGCCCUUGACUUUGGGAUAACUUCAGGAAACUGGGGCUAAUACCGGAUAGGAGCUCCUGCUGCAUGGUGGGGGUUGGAAAGUUUCGGCGGUUGGGGAUGGACUCGCGGCUUAUCAGCUUGUUGGUGGGGUAGUGGCUUACCAAGGCUUUGACGGGUAGCCGGCCUGAGAGGGUGACCGGCCACAUUGGGACUGAGAUACGGCCCAGACUCCUACGGGAGGCAGCAGUGGGGAAUAUUGCACAAUGGGCGGAAGCCUGAUGCAGCAACGCCGCGUGCGGGAUGACGGCCUUCGGGUUGUAAACCGCUUUCGCCUGUGACGAAGCGUGAGUGACGGUAAUGGGUAAAGAAGCACCGGCUAACUACGUGCCAGCAGCCGCGGUGAUACGUAGGGUGCGAGCGUUGUCCGGAUUUAUUGGGCGUAAAGGGCUCGUAGGUGGUUGAUCGCGUCGGAAGUGUAAUCUUGGGGCUUAACCCUGAGCGUGCUUUCGAUACGGGUUGACUUGAGGAAGGUAGGGGAGAAUGGAAUUCCUGGUGGAGCGGUGGAAUGCGCAGAUAUCAGGAGGAACACCAGUGGCGAAGGCGGUUCUCUGGGCCUUUCCUGACGCUGAGGAGCGAAAGCGUGGGGAGCGAACAGGCUUAGAUACCCUGGUAGUCCACGCUGUAAACGGUGGGUACUAGGUGUGGGGUCCAUUCCACGGGUUCCGUGCCGUAGCUAACGCUUUAAGUACCCCGCCUGGGGAGUACGGCCGCAAGGCUAAAACUCAAAGGAAUUGACGGGGCCCCGCACAAGCGGCGGAGCAUGCGGAUUAAUUCGAUGCAACGCGUAGAACCUUACCUGGGUUUGACAUGGAUCGGGAGUGCUCAGAGAUGGGUGUGCCUCUUUUGGGGUCGGUUCACAGGUGGUGCAUGGCUGUCGUCAGCUCGUGUCGUGAGAUGUUGGGUUAAGUCCCGCAACGAGCGCAACCCUUGUUCACUGUUGCCAGCACGUUAUGGUGGGGACUCAGUGGAGACCGCCGGGGUCAACUCGGAGGAAGGUGGGGAUGACGUCAAGUCAUCAUGCCCCUUAUGUCCAGGGCUUCACGCAUGCUACAAUGGCUGGUACAGAGAGUGGCGAGCCUGUGAGGGUGAGCGAAUCUCGGAAAGCCGGUCUCAGUUCGGAUUGGGGUCUGCAACUCGACCUCAUGAAGUCGGAGUCGCUAGUAAUCGCAGAUCAGCAACGCUGCGGUGAAUACGUUCCCGGGGCUUGUACACACCGCCCGUCAAGUCAUGAAAGUUGGUAACACCCGAAGCCGGUGGCCUAACCGUUGUGGGGGAGCCGUCGAAGGUGGGACUGGUGAUUAGGACUAAGUCGUAACAAGGUAACA